UACGUAGGUGGCAAGCGUUAUCCGGAAUUACUGGGCGUAAAGCGCACGCAGGCGGUCUUUUAAGUUUGACGUGAAAGCUCCCGGCUUAACUGGGAGAGGUCGUUGAAGACUGGAAGACUUGAGGCAAUGAGAGGGGUGUAGAAUUCCCGGUGUAGUGGUGGAAUGCGUAGAUAUCGGGGGGAAUACCAGUGGCGAAAGCGGCACCCUAGCGUUAGCCUGACGCUAAUGUGCGAAAGCGUGGGGAGCGAACGGG
rnacentral:rRNA from 1 species